rnacentral:snoRNA from 1 species
UUUGAGGUCUAUCCCGAUGGGGCUUUGCUGUAAGUUCAUAUCGUUGGAAACGCCUCAUAGAGUAAACAUUGUAGUUUUGCAUUACCUGCUAAUUUCUUUAGUGGGGGUAAAAUCUGCAUAACACUA